UACGUAGGGUGCAAGCGUUGUCCGGAAUUAUUGGGCGUAAAGAGCUCGUAGGCGGUCUGUCGCGUCGGAUGUGAAAAUCCAGGGCUCAACCCUGGACCUGCAUUCGAUACGGGCAGGCUAGAGUUCGGUAGGGGAGAUCGGAAUUCCUGGUGUAGCGGUGAAAUGCGCAGAUAUCAGGAGGAACACCGGUGGCGAAGGCGGAUCUCUGGGCCGAUACUGACGCUGAGGAGCGAAAGCGUGGGGAGCGAACAGG
rnacentral:rRNA from 1 species